AUAUNGUGUUGCCAGCGUGUGAUGAGCAGGGUGGGGUGAAUGCGUUACGAUAGUCUAGUCUCAACGACGGGAUACGUGGGAAUAAUAACAUGUGGCGCGUGGAGAUUUACAAACAUACGUACAUACAGGAGAAAAACUGAGAUAAGUUGCCAAAAAGUCGUUAUUUUGAAAAUUUGAACAUUUUAAAUCUUAUGUUAGUAUAUAAGUAAAGAACAAAAAUAUAUUAUAAUACAGAAUAGUGAUAUGAUGUAAACAAAAUAAAUAUAAGCAUUUAUCGUGAACCCAUAAAUGUUUUAUAAAUAUUAGUUAUAAGGAAUUUAUUGUAACAUUAGUAAGUAUUAUACUAAUACUUAGAAAGUAACCAUUAAUACUGUAAAUUUCAUGUUAAUUAUAUCCUUAAUUGUUAAAGACAUUGUUCCUAAUAAAAAGGGAUCUGACUACUGAUUCAGUAGUCAGUGAUCAAUCAGUGAAUGUUA